UGGGGAAUAUUGCACAAUGGGCGCAAGCCUGAUGCAGCCAUGCCGCGUGUAUGAAGAAGGCCUUCGGGUUGUAAAGUACUUUCAGCGGGGAGGAAGGCGAUGCGGUUAAUAACCGCGUCGAUUGACGUUACCCGCAGAAGAAGCACCGGCUAACUCCGUGCCAGCAGCCGCGGUAAUACGGAGGGUGCAAGCGUUAAUCGGAAUUACUGGGCGUAAAGCGCACGCAGGCGGUUUGUCAAGUCGGAUGUGAAAUCCCCGGGCUCAACCUGGGAACUGCAUCCGAAACUGGCAGGCUUGAGUCUCGUAGAGGGGGGUAGAAUUCCAGGUGUAGCGGUGAAAUGCGUAGAGAUCUGGAGGAAUACCGGUGGCGAAGGCGGCCCCCUGGACGAAGACUGACGCUCAGGUGCGAAAGCGUGGGGAGCAAACA
rnacentral:rRNA from 1 species